rnacentral:tRNA from 1 species
GGUUGUUUUACCCUAGCGGCGAAGGGAACCGGCUGUAACCCGGCACAAUGAUACAUCCAAGGUUCGAGUCCUUGAACAACCACCA